rnacentral:rRNA from 1 species
AUUGAACGCUGGCGGCAGGCUUAACACAUGCAAGUCGAGCGGAGUGAUGGUGCUUGCACUAUCACUUAGCGGCGGACGGGUGAGUAAUGCUUAGGAAUCUGCCUAUUAGUGGGGGACAACAUCUCGAAAGGGAUGCUAAUACCGCAUACGUCCUACGGGAGAAAGCAGGGGAUCACUUGUGACCUUGCGCUAAUAGAUGAGCCUAAGUCGGAUUAGCCAGUUGGUGGGGUAAAGGCCUACCAAGGCGACGAUCUGUAGCGGGUCUGAGAGGAUGAUCCGCCACACUGGGACUGAGACACGGCCCAGACUCCUACGGGAGGCAGCAGUGGGGAAUAUUGGACAAUGGGGGGAACCCUGAUCCAGCCAUGCCGCGUGUGUGAAGAAGGCCUUAUGGUUGUAAAGCACUUUAAGCGAGGAGGAGGCUCUUUUGGUUAAUACCCAAGAUGAGUGGACGUUACUCGCAGAAUAAGCACCGGCUAACUCUGUGCCAGCCGCCGCCGUAAAAC